rnacentral:rRNA from 1 species
UACGGGGGGGGCAAGCGUUGUCCGGAUUUAUUGGGCGUAAAGGGUUUGUAGGCUGCCUUGUAAGUCAGGUGUGAAAUCCCUCGGCUCAACCGAGGAAUAGCGCUUGAUACUGCAAGGCUUGAGGGAGACAGGGGUAAGCGGAACUGAUGGUGGAGCGGUGAAAUGCGUUGAUAUCAUCAGGAACACCGGUGGCGAAAGCGGCUUACUGGGUCUCUUCUGACGCUGAGGAACGAAAGCUAGGGUAGCGAACGGG